rnacentral:tRNA from 1 species
GGCUUGGUGGCCGUGCGGUUAGCGGCGUCAGUCGUCUAGGCGUUUCGUAAGCCUCGGAGUGCGGGUUCGAUUCCCGCUCGAGUCG